CCAAAGCCAAGCUGGCAAAUAAACAGAACUGUGGACUUUAAGAAGGCAGUUCCAGCAGACCUAGACCAGCUAAGCAGGCCUGCUGAGUGGUGCCUGAAGGCAGCCAGAAAGGCACUAAGUAAAUCAACGAACUCCAUGGUUUUCCUGAAGACCUCUUGAUAUCAAAAUUUCUUUCCUUACAUGCGUCUCCUCUGAUCCUGUGGAAAUGAAAAUUGACAUCCACAGUCAUAUUCUACCAAAAGAAUGGCCAGAUCUAAAGAAGAGAUACGGGUACGGAGGCUGGGUGCAGCUCCAACACCACAGAGAGGGAGAAGCAAAGAUGCUAAAGGAUGGAAAGGUCUUUAGAGUGGUCAAAGAGAACUGCUGGAAUCCAGAAGUCCGUCUUAGAGAAAUGGACCAAACAGGAGUGACCGUGCAAGCCCUGUCCACGGUUCCCGUCAUGUUUAGCUACUGGGCCAAACCUCAGGACACUUUAGACCUGUGCCAGUUUCUAAACAAUGACCUAGCUGCCACCACUGCAAGCCACCCCAGGAGGUUUGUGGGUCUGGGGACAUUGCCCAUGCAGGCCCCUGAGCUGGCAGUCAAGGAGAUGGAGCGCUGUGUGAAGGAACUGGGCUUUCCCGGGGUUCAGAUCGGUUCCCAUAUCAACGAGUGGGACCUGAACACGCAGGAACUCUACCCAGUCUACGCAGAGGCAGAAAAGCUGAACUGUUCCCUAUUUGUGCACCCCUGGGAUAUGCAGAUGGAUGGACGGAUGGCCAAAUACUGGUUCCCUUGGCUCAUAGGAAUGCCAACAGAAACCACCACAGCCAUUUGCUCCAUGAUCAUGGGUGGAGUGUUUGAGAAGUUUCCUAAACUCAAAGUAUGUUUUGCACAUGGAGGUGGUUCCUUCCCCUUCACAGUAGGAAGAAUCGCUCAUGGAUUCAACAUGCGUCCAGAUCUGUGUGCCCAGGACAAUCCAACCAACCCAAAGAAAUACCUUGGUUCCUUUUACACGGACUCCUUGGUUCAUGACCCUGUGGCCCUCAAGCUAUUAACAGAUGUCAUCGGAAAGGGUCACCUCUGUACCCAUUCAACGUGACACAUCAUAAUGAGAAAAGCAGGAAAGAGCCACUAGUUUCGGAGUCAAAUUGACCUGGCUUAAAAUCCUGCCUCCACCUCUUACUGAUUAUGUAAAUUCUGAAUCAAACUGUCCUCAUCCACUAAAUGAAGAAAACUGGAACAUCAAAGAGGGAAGAAUGGUACUGGCCAGGGAGGCAAGUCCUCAUAAGAGUGGAACCAUUUUGAUGCCUAUAAGCUUCCUGAGAACAAGAGUAUAACUUAACUACCUUCUCAAGAAGGUGUGCCUCAAUUUUCCUCAAUUGUGAAAUGGAGGUGAUAACCUGACAGAGUUGAUGUGAGAAGUUAACAUAACAUAUGCCAAAGGACGGUACAGAUGUCAGUAAUUUGUAUCACUGAUUCCAGUGCUUUACACACAGUAGGUGUUAAGUUAAUGUUUGCCUAAUUGAAUUGUGUAAUGAUCUUGUGGAUAUAAGACUAAUCUUACGUUGCAUUGAUUGAAUUAAAUCAGGCUCCUUCUCUAGGAAAUUAUAUCUCAGGGAACAAACUGAAUCCUUGAUAUACUAGAAUUUUAUGUUAAAAUAGAGGUAUGUUGUAUUUACUGCAAAUGCUACUAAUGAAACAUGCUAAUGAGGAGAUAGUUAAUUGUUCCUUUUACAGAAGACAAAUGAAUUCUCUUCCACUAUUUGAAUUCCCUUAGUAAGUCACGUCUUUCAGUGUUUGCAGCAUUCCCUGAAAAUGUGGGAAAGUUAAUGCAUCUCAACAGGUGAGCAGCUUCUUUCUUUUCCCUGACAGGAAUAUUAAUCGCUAUUAUUAUCAGCUCAGUAAGUCUUUGACUUCCUAGACAGUGUGUGCUGCUGGCUUUGGGGAGGAAAAUGUAUGUUGGGGGCAGAAUGUUAGUGCUGAGAAAUCAAUCAGAAUUAUCCACUGCUUUACCAUCUAAUAAAGAAACCCAAUGCCUGUCUAAUAAAGAAAAUCAGGGAAGGUAUAAUUUCAGGAUCUCAGAAAAUGCAGCCAUGGUACCUAAAAUGUCUACCAGUAGAAUUAUUCCUUCGGGUUUAACAGAAUCUUUAGAAAGGUCCUACUAAAACGUAGAUGUUGUCAAAUAUUACAUUCACACAGAUAUCCUUAAAAAUUGGUUCAUGACUAUGGUCAAUCCCAAGGGAACAGAAUCCUGGAUCACACACAAGAAGAAAGAAGAAGGUUCUAGCUUUGAGGAGGCCAGGAAGAGAUACAUUGCUUGGGUGCCUGAGAUGUCACGAGAGUCUUGGGUAUCCCAGGGAGCCUAAAUGAAUGGAAAAUAAGGCAAGGACAUAUCCUAUGCUUCGUCAACCAGGACUUGCAUUGAAUAAUCCAUAAACGAAGUUGAGGAGGCAAUUCCAUUUACAUCAGCAUCAAGGGAAUAAAAUACUGGAGUCAAUUCAAUUAAAGAAGUGAACUGACAAGUUGAUCCUUAAAUUCAUAUGGAAAUGCAAGGGACUCAGAAUAGCCAAAACAAUUUUGAAAAAGAAGAACAAAGUUGGAAGACUCACACUCUCAAUUUCAAAACUUUCUACAAAGAUACAUACAGUAAUCAAAACUGUGUGGAAGUGGCUUAAGGACAAACAUGAAGAUAACUUAUUUUGAACAAAGGUGCCAGUACAAUUCAAUGAAGAAAGAACAGACUUUCCAGCAUGAUGUAGUAGGACAACUGGAUAUUCACACUGAAAUAUCAAUAAUAAUUAAUUUGGACCUCUGUUUUACACCAUACAUGAAAAAUAACUGAAAAUGGACCAAAGACCUAAAAUGGAAGAGUUAAAACUACAAACUCUUAGAAGAAAACAUAGCUGUAAAUCUUUGUGCCAUUUUAGGCAAUAAUUCCUUAAAUAUGAUACCAAGAGCACAAGCAACCAAAGAAAAUAGAUUAAAUUCAUCACAAUUUUAAAAUUUGUGCUUCAAAAGAUACAACCAGUAAAGCGAAAAGACAACCUACAGAAUAAAGAAAAUAUUUGUAAAUCAUACAUCUGAUGACUCUCUAGUAUUUCAAAAAUAUAAAGAACUCUUACAACUCAACAAUAAAAAGAAAGCACACGGGCUUGAAUUGACACAAAGGAUCUGAAUAGAUAUUUCUCUAAAGACAUAUGAGCCAACGAGCACUUGAAAAGAUGUUCAGCAUAAUUAGUCACUAUAGAAAUGCAAAUCAAAACCACAAUAAGAUACCAUUUAACACCCACCAUGAUAGCUAUUAUCAAAAAAAAAAAGGUCAAUAACAAGUGUUGGUGAGGAUUUGGAGAAAUUGGAACU